CUCAGUGCUGCUGACCGUCUCCACUGUCGUUGAUGAGGAGAGGUGUGUGGUUGGGUCCAGACCUCCUGAAGUCCACAAUGAUCUCUUUUGUGUUGUUGAGUUCAGGAGCAGGUUGUUGGUUCUGCACCAGUCCUACCCUAACUUGGCUGCAGGACACACGGCAGCCAUCUUGGCUAAACCAAAGCAGCAGAAGAAGUUUCAGCACUGCUGGAUAUUUUUGUUCACAUCGAUGGACUGUUGACCUGAGGACUCGGGAAAUAACUUUUCACAAGUUUUGAAGGAAGACACGAUGUGAGGAAGAAGUGGGAAAAUAAGGAGAGACGGAUUCACUGCCCAGGAUGAAUCUGCUGAAUCACUCUGAAUCUAGAACUCCUCGGCUGGAAGACAUGAAAAAUAACCUUUAUAUAUGUUUAUAUAUA